AACGCUGGCGGCAUGCUUAACACAUGCAAGUCGAACGAGAAAGUCUUCUUCGGAAGGCGAGUAAAGUGGCGGACGGGUGAGUAACACGUAAGAACCUACCCUUCGGACUGGGAUAACAUCCUGAAAGGGAUGCUAAUACCGGAUAUUAUCUAUGGAUGAAAGAGGGCUUCGGCUUUCACCGAGGGAUGGGCUUGCGGCCCAUUAGCUUGUUGGUAAGGUAAUGGCUUACCAAGGCGACGAUGGGUAGCCGGCCUGAGAGGGUGUACGGCCACACUGGAACUGAGACACGGUCCAGACUCCUACGGGAGGCAGCAGUGGGGAAUAUUGGUCAAUGGGCGAAAGCCUGAACCAGCAAUGCCGUGUGGGCGAUGAAGCUUUUAGGAGUGUAAAGCCCUUUUCUAGGGGAAGAACCGCUUUGGGACGAAUAAUCCCAUAGCCUGACGGUACCUUAGGAAUAAGCCCCGGCUAACUCCGUGCCAGCAGCCGCGGUAAUACGGAGGGGGCGAGCGUUGUUCGGAAUCACUGGGCGUAAAGGGCGCGUAGGCGGCCUUGCAGGUCAGAUGUGAAAGCCCCGGGCUUAACCCGGGAAUUGCGUUUGAAACCUCAGGGCUUGAGGCCGGGAGAGGGAAGUGGAAUUCCUGGUGUAGCGGUGAAAUGCGCAGAUAUCAGGAGGAACACCGGUGGCGAAGGCGGCUUCCUGGACCGGUACUGACGCUGAGUCGCGAAAGCGUGGGGAGCGAACGGGAUUAGAUACCCCGGUAGUCCACGCUGUAAACGUUGAGCACUAGAUGUAGCGGGUAUCGACCCCUGCUGUGUCGCAGCUAACGCAUUAAGUGCUCCGCCUGGGGACUACGGUCGCAAGACUGAAACUCAAAGGAAUUGACGGGGGCCCGCACAAGCGGUGGAGUAUGUGGUUUAAUUCGAUGCAACGCGAAGAACCUUACCAGGGCUUGACAUACUGGUGGUACUGAUCUGAAAGGUGAAGGACCUCUUCGGAGGAGCCAGUACAGGUGCUGCAUGGCUGUCGUCAGCUCGUGUCGUGAGAUGUUGGGUUAAGUCCCGCAACGAGCGCAACCCCUACCCUUAGUUACCAGCAGUUCGGCUGGGCACUCUAGGGGAACUGCCGGUGAUAAACCGGAGGAAGGUGGGGAUGACGUCAAGUCCUCAUGGUCCUUAUGUCCUGGGCUACACACGUACUACAAUGGUCGGUACAAUGGGUCGCGAAACCGUGAGGUUGAGCCAAUCUCAAAAAACCGGCCUCAAUUCGGAUUGGAGUCUGCAACUCGACUCCAUGAAGUUGGAAUCGCUAGUAAUCGCGGAUCAGCAUGCCGCGGUGAUACGUUCCCGGGCCUUGUACACACCGCCCGUCACACCACGAAAGUUGGUUGCACCAGAAGCCGUCAAGCCAACCCUUUGGGGGGCAGGCGUCCAAGGUGUGAUCAAUGACUGGGGUGAAGUCGU
rnacentral:rRNA from 1 species